GACGAACGCUGGCGGCGUGCUUAACACAUGCAAGUCGAACGAUGAAGCUGGAGCUUGCUCCAGUGGAUUAGUGGCGAACGGGUGAGUAACACGUGAGCAAUCUGCCCUUGACUCUGGGAUAACUGCGGGAAACUGUAGCUAAUACCGGAUACGACACCUUGGGGCAUCCCGAGGUGUGGAAAGAAUUUCGGUCAAGGAUGAGCUCGCGGCCUAUCAGCUAGUUGGUGAGGUAAUGGCUCACCAAGGCGACGACGGGUAGCCGGCCUGAGAGGGUGACCGGCCACACUGGGACUGAGACACGGCCCAGACUCCUACGGGAGGCAGCAGUGGGGAAUAUUGCACAAUGGGCGCAAGCCUGAUGCAGCAACGCCGCGUGAGGGAUGACGGCCUGG
rnacentral:rRNA from 1 species